GGUUUUCUCUUGAAGAGCUCAAGGUGCAUUAAUUUUCUUUAUUAGUAUCUUCAAAGAAAGCUGUGAAGAUCUAUCAUCUUUGUUUCUUAUGUGGCUUUUGUGCAGUCUUAUCGUUCAUGUUAUGAUUUAUCUUACGUGCUUUUGAAGGCAAUUGCUGAUCUACUGACCUGUGGAUAGUCCACUUUAUUUGAGCCAUUCAUUAUGUUGUUUCUCAGCUGUUAUUCUUGAUCACAUUCCAAGGAUUCUAGGACUAAACUGGCAUGAAUGAGAUAUCGAAUUUAAUAGAUGUUCCCAGUUGGUAGAACUGUCUAAUUUGUCUCCCAUGAAUAUGUUUAAUAUUUAUAGUGCAAGAAGCUGAGCUGCAUGAUCGAGUGCAUAUGUGACUUAGUUUCUCUUUGGUGUUUGUUGUCAUUAAAUUUAUCUCAUCUUAGUGAAUGCAAAUUAAAAUAUUGGAUUUUUAAUCUGUCAAGUGAAAUAUUGCUUUACUACAUAUGUUAUUUUUUUUUUUUUGUUAAAUACCUGUUACAAUGAUUUAAUGCCUUUUUCAAUUACCAGGCUGCUGGUAUUCCAAAGAAG
rnacentral:misc_RNA from 1 species